CCCGCCGGACCCGACUGCUAUCGGAUAGAGAUUAAGCCAUGCAAGUCGAACAUUUCUUAACUAUGUAAGAAGUGUGGCAUACGGCUCAGUAACACGUGGUCAACCUACCCUAAAGACAUGGAUAACCCCGGGAAACUGGGAUUAAUAUAUGAUAGGUCAUUUUUCCUGGAAUCGGUUUAUGACUUAAAGGAUUGUUGAGCAAGUUUGAUUAAUUGCUUUAGGAUGGGACUGCGACCGAUCAGGUUGUUGGUGGGGUAAUGGCCUACCAAGCCGAUUACCGGUGCGGGCUUUGAGAGAAGGAGCCUGGAGAUGGACACUGAGAAAAGGGUCUAGGCCCUACGGGGCGCAGCAGGCGCGAAAACUUUGCAAUGUGCGAAAGCACGACAAGGUUAAUCCGAGUGCAACAUGCUGAAUGUAGCUUUUGGUAAAUGUAAAUAUUUUAUUGAAUAAGGGGAGGGAAAGUCUGGUGUCAGCCGCCGCGGUAAUACCAGCUCCCCGAGUGGUCGGGACGAUUAUUGGGCCUAAAGCAUCCGUAGCCGGUUCUGUAGGUCUUAUGUUAAAAUCAAUUGCUUAACAAUUGAACUGCAUGAGAUACCACAAAACUAGGAGGCGGGAGAGGUGGACGGUAUUCCACGGGUAGGGGUAAAAUCCUCUGAACCGUGGAGGACCACCAGUGGCGAAGGCGGUCCACCAGAACGCGCUCGACGGUGAGGGAUGAAAGCUGGGGUAGCGAACCGGAUUAGAUACCCGGGUAGUCCCAGCUGUAAACGAUGCAAGCUAGGUGAUGCAUUAGCCACGUGUUAAUGCAGUGCCGCAGGGAAGCCGUUAAGCUUGCCGCCUGGGGAGUACGGUCGCAAGGCUGAAACUUAAAGGAAUUGGCGGGGGAGCACCACAAGGGGUGAAGCCUGCGGUUCAA
rnacentral:rRNA from 1 species